rnacentral:tRNA from 1 species
UUGGGCUGUCGCCAAGCGGUAAGGCACAGGACUUUGACUCCUGCACUCGAAGGUUCAAAUCCUUCCAGUCCAGU